UGUACUCACUUCGGCAGCAUAUUAAAAUUAGAACAAUGAAGAGAAGGUUAGCAUGGCCCCUGUGUGAGGAUGACACAAAUUCAUGAAGUGCUCCAUAUUUUA